CCUACGGGAGGCAGCAGUGGGGAAUAUUGGACAAUGGGGGGAACCCUGAUCCAGCCAUGCCGCGUGUGUGAAGAAGGCCCUCGGGUUGUAAAGCACUUUCAGUGAGGAAGAACGCCUGGUGGUUAAUACCCAUCAGGAAAGACAUCACUCACAGAAGAAGCACCGGCUAACUCCGUGCCAGCAGCCGCGGUAAUACGGAGGGUGCGAGCGUUAAUCGGAAUUACUGGGCGUAAAGCGCGCGUAGGUGGCUUGAUAAGCCGGUUGUGAAAGCCCCGGGCUCAACCUGGGAACGGCAUCCGGAACUGUCAAGCUAGAGUGCAGGAGAGGAAGGUAGAAUUCCCGGUGUAGAGGUGAAAUGCGUAGAGAUCGGGAGGAAUACCAGUGGCGAAGGCGGCCUUCUGGACUGACACUGACACUGAGGUGCGAAAGCGUGGGUGGCAAACAGGAUUAGAUACCCUUGUAGUC
rnacentral:rRNA from 1 species